CGUCACAAUCCCGCCAUCAUCCUCUGAACCCGCCGCCGACCACCCACCACCGUCGUCAACUACCCCUCGCCCCCUGACCCCUCUCCUUCUCUUUCUUUCUUUCUUCUUCCCCUUCUCUUCUUCAUCUGUCUCUGCUCCUCCGCGCCACCUCAGCCGCAGCGCCACCCCUCCUUGCCGAACCCGAGCCCAGGACCCACCCCUGCUUCCUCUCGUCUUCACCCUCUCGACGCCUCACCUUCGCGAAUCACCGCCCACGCCGCCGCAACCACCACCCCUUUCUCACCCCCACGAGCCUCAUAAACCCUCCUUGCCCCAUUAUCGCUCUUCCUCUGCCUGCGACAACAAGCACAGGGCUCGUCCCUUGUUCUCAUUUCGCUUCCUCUCCACCGCUGUCACUGUGCCACUGCGCCACCAGGCCGGCUGUGUUUGUUCCGGCCAUUCACUCAUCGUCAUCAACCUUCCCCUUCCCUUCCUCUGUUCAAAUUCUUGUUCCCAGGUAAGCAGAUGGCCAGCUUUCGCGUUUCUACAUCAUCUUUUCCCUCCUCUCCUCAAAGCCAGUGAUGAUGCUGAGCCAAUGAGCCAUUUGGUGGCAAUGUGCUCCUUUCGACGUACUUGUGGAGGUUGCCAACUGCCAAGUCUGAAGCUAAGAUGUCACAGCCAAUGGAGCUGGCCUUGGGUUCACAAUGAAGGAGAAUGAGAUAGAGUAAAUGAAGGGGCAAGAAGGGCAUUGAUGCAGGAGCAAUAGGAGCAUGCCACUUGGAAGCCAUUCAAGGAGUCACCCCUCAAAAUGACAUCAACAUCUUGAAGCUAGUCGCAUUUUUGAAAGGUUGGGCAUUGCACUUUCUUCUUCAAUGGCUAAACAAAAUCUUAGGCAAGCCAUUGAUUUUUUGUAUUCUCGCGGCCUUGCUACUUCUGAUUCCUAUACACGCCAUGUCCUUCACUGCGUUCGAGCAAAUGACUUUGUUCAAGCCAAGAGAUUGCAGUCUCACAUGCAACUUCACCUUUUCCAACCCAAAGACUCCUUCAUCCAUAACCAGCUCCUCCAUUUGUAUGCCAAAUGCGGCAAACUCUCCUAUGCACAAGACCUGUUUGAUAAUAUGACCCACAGAGAUGUUUAUUCUUGGAAUGCCUUGCUUUCUGCUUAUGCUAAGUUGGGUUUGGUUGAGGAUUUGUGCACUGUCUUUGAUCAAAUGCCUUCUUGUGAUUCCGUUUCUUAUAACACCUUGAUUGCUUGUUUUGCAACUAAUGGGCAUUCAGGCAAGGCAUUGAAGAUUUUAGUGAGGAUGCAAGAAGAUGGGUUUCAGCCCACCCAGUACUCCUAUGUGAAUGCAUUGCAAGCAUGUUCUAAGCUCUUGGAUUUGAAGCUUGGUAAGCAGAUUCACGGGAGAGUUGUUAUUAGUGGUUGUGGGGAUAACACUUUUGUAUGGAAUGCUAUCACUGGUGUCUAUGCGAAGUGUGGUGAUAUUCACAGGGCACGGUGGUUCUUUGAUCGAAUGACACAUAAGAAUGUUGUUUCCUGGAAUCUUAUGAUCUCUGGAUAUGUCAAAUUGGGGUAUCAUGAUGAGUGCAUUCGAUUGUUUAAUAAGAUGAAGUUAUUGGGUUUGAAACCUGACCAAGUUACAGCAUCAGUUGUUAUCAAUGCUUACUUUCAGUGUGGACAUGUGGAUGAUGCAAGGAGGAUGUUCAGUGAAAUACCUAGAAAGGAUGAGAUUUGUUGGACAACAAUGAUAGUUGGUUGUGCACAGAAUGGAAGAGAAGAGGAUGCAUUGAUGUUGUUUGGCGACAUGCUGCGUGGAGACGUUAGACCUGACAGUUACACCAUUUCAAGUGUGGUCAGCUCCUGUGCCAAGCUAGCUUCUUUGUGUCAUGGUCAGGUUGUCCAUGGAAAAGCAAUAGUAAUGGGUGUUGAUCAUAGCAUGCUUGUGUCAAGUGCUCUUGUUGAUAUGUACUGCAAGUGUGGAGUUACUUUGGAUGCUUGGAGCAUUUUUUGGACAAUGCCUAUUCGAAAUGUGAUUACUUGGAAUUCUAUGAUCCAUGGUUAUGCCCAAAAUGGUCAACCACAUGAAGCACUGGCUCUUUAUGAAACGAUGCUUCAGGAAAAUAUCAAACCUGAUAGCAUUAGUUUUGUGGGGGUAUUAUCUGCUUGUAUCAGUGCUGACAUGGUCGCAAAAGGACAGGAAUAUUUUAAUUCAAUAAGUGAACAUGGGAUGACACCAACAUUGGAUCACUAUGCAUGUAUGGUCACUCUCAUUGGUCGCUCUAGUAGUGUUGAUAAAGCUGUGGAUUUGAUCAAAUGCAUGCCUCAUGAACCAGAUUACCUGAUUUGGUCCACCCUACUCUCUAUUUGUGCAAAGAAGGGUGACAUCAAGAAUGCAGAAUUGGCAGCUGGUCAUCUCUUCAAGUUGGAUCCACGUAAUGCAGGACCUUAUAUCAUGCUUUCCAACUUAUACGCUGCUUGCGGGAGAUGGGAAAAAGUAGGUGAUGUACGAUCUCUCAUGAAUAGAAACAAUGCAAAAAAGUUUGCUGCUUAUAGUUUGGUUGAGGUUGAGAGUGAAGUCCACAAAUUUGUUUCAGAAGAUCGUACUCAUCCAGCAGUGGAAAAAAUCUAUGAUGAAUUGAACAGAUUGAUUUCAAUAUUGCAACGAAUUGGGUAUAAUCCAGAUACAAACAUUGUUCUGCAUAAUGUGGAACAGGAAGAAAAAUUUAAAUCCAUCUCAUACCACAGUGAGAAACUUGCUCUUGCUUUUGCUUUAAUUAGAAAGCCGAAUGGAAUUGCACCUAUCAGGAUCAUAAAAAAUAUACGUGUCUGUGAUGACUGCCAUGUGUUUAUGAAAUUUGCAUCCUUCCAUAUUGGAAGGACAAUCAUUUUGAGAGAUUCAAACAAAUUUCACCAUUUCUCUGGUGGAAAGUGCUCUUGCAAGGACCAUUGGUAAAGUUUUAAUCCAGAUAAUGAUAUCCUGUGCAUUUUUAAUUGUUUUGAAAAGGAAUGGUGCUGGCAAUAGAAGGGAAAAUUAAAUCUAUAUGUAAACGUGGACUCAAUAGAUUGGAGCAGCUGUAUUGCACGGGAAUGCCUUUAGAAAAUUUCUUGGGACGACACAAUGUGUUGAACUAGGAAGCAAGUAUAUCCUUUGAAUCCAUUAUCAAGAAUGGACCUUGAAGAAAGAGAGUCAAGAAAACUAUCAAAUCCCCAUAACUUGCUUGAUCCAGACUAGAGAUCUUUGUGACAUGUAGAGCCUGCUCGAUUCAGACUAGAGGUUCUUUGUGACAUGUACUAUGUCUACAUGUAACUCAAUCUUGUGGCAGUGUUAAUUGCUUGCCUCUUAAGAAUAUGCCAAGAAGGUAACAUUCUGUACUUUGUUACAUUGGAGAGAUACUUGAAGUAAAUUACUAACAUGUUCUAUAUGGGAAUACUUCCUUUGCCUCUUGCAGUGGUAACGGAAAAAUGAAAGGAUAAUUUGUCGAUAACUUUAUCAGAGAUGAAGACGCAACACCCGAUGACCUGAGCAUUGUUGAACCUUAACUCCUCAAAUUUCAUCUGCAGUACCAAUGCCUUAAUUCACUGACAAAUCUAGAUACUUGAUCUCCCCCACUAAGUGUUUCAGGCAUUUAACUCCUGCAAUGGGUGUAAUUAACUACGAGAUGGUUCCAAUGUUGGGGCACAGAAUUCGCGUAGUGAAGAAAUAAAUGAUCAACACAUUCUAUUAGCUCUAAUAUUAUGUUAGUAUGUUCCUUUGGAUCGGAGCUUAACUUAUAACAAUGCUUCUUUAAUUAAAGUUUCUCUUUUACCGAGCGCGCCCUAGCCAUUGCUGCAAUGUUCCUAUCCUGGCUUCUCUUAGGUACUUUUGGGUGCAAGGUCACGGUGUCUCUUCUUCCAGAUGCAGUCUUUUGGCUGUUGAGUUGAUUCCUUCUAGUAAUGAAGCAUGAAGCAUCCAGUGAUCCAGAUCAUGUUCUUGCAUAUUACUCUCUUGAAGGACAAAGAGAUGAUUUUCCGGAUACCAUUGUUAAGUGUACCUUUGGAAUUCACCAUAUGUGCAUAGACCUUUUUUUC